rnacentral:rRNA from 1 species
UGAGGAAUAUUGCGCAAUGGGGGAAACCCUGACGCAGCCAUGCCGCGUGAGUGAAGAAGGCCUUCGGGUUGUAAAGCUCUUUCAGUCGUGAAGAUAAUGACGGUAGCGACAGAAGAAGCCCCGGCUAAAUUCGUGCCAGCAGCCGCGGUAAUACGAAUGGGGCAAGCGUUGUUCGGAAUCACUGGGCUUAAAGCGUGCGCAGGCGGAUAUGAAAGUCAGGAGUGAAAUCCCAGAGCUCAACUCUGGAAUU